UAAAGAGGAAAUGUCUCUACGCUGCGGGGAUGCAGCCCGCACCCUGGGGCCCCGGGUAUUUGGGAGAUAUUUUUGCAGCCCAGUCAGACCGUUAAGCUCCUUGCCAGAUAAAAAAAAGGAACUCCUACAGAAUGGACCAGACCUUCAAGAUUUUGUAUCUGGUGAUCUUGCAGACAGGAGCACCUGGGAUGAAUAUAAAGGAAACCUAAAACGCCAGAAAGGAGAAAGGUUAAGACUACCUCCAUGGCUAAAGACAGAGAUUCCCAUGGGGAAAAAUUACAAUAAACUGAAAAAUACUUUGCGGAAUUUAAAUCUCCAUACAGUAUGUGAGGAAGCUCGAUGUCCCAAUAUUGGAGAGUGUUGGGGAGGUGGAGAAUAUGCCACCGCCACAGCCACGAUCAUGUUGAUGGGUGACACAUGUACAAGAGGUUGCAGAUUUUGUUCUGUUAAGACUGCAAGAAAUCCUCCUCCACUGGAUGCCAGUGAGCCCUACAAUACUGCAAAGGCAAUUGCAGAAUGGGGUCUGGAUUAUGUUGUCCUGACAUCUGUGGAUCGAGAUGAUAUGCCUGAUGGGGGAGCUGAACACAUUGC
rnacentral:lncRNA from 1 species